ACACAUCGAAUGUGAUUCCAAAGAUAGUUUUCAAAUCAAGUGUAGGUGGAAUCUUUCUUAAGUUAAUUCAAGAAGUACCACGAAUGAUAUUCAAAGAAAACACGAAUGGAAAUCUAACCUCUCUUCAAUAAUAAGUAUGAAAGCUUGUUCAUUUAAGAACUUUUGCCCAAAAUAUUAAGUAUUUUAUCAACAUGAGUAUAAGAGCAUUAUCAGAGUAUGAGAUCAAAACUUAUAUACUUGAAAAACAUAUCAUCAUGUUGGAUCAUUAAUUCUUAAUGACUUCAAAGUUCUUUUAUGAUAAUAAGAGCAUUGGGGCACAAAUACCAAAAUAUGGAUUCAUGCAAUUUUUGAUACAUCUUAGAGCUCUUUUAAAGACUUUCUUUUAUUCCUUUAGAAAAUAAGCACAAUUUGGUACAUAUAAUAAUGAAUUGGCAUAAAAAUUGAAGUUCUAAAGAACAAGCCAAUAAGAACUCAUUAGUAAAUUCCAAAAAUAGGUUUUCUAAGAGAUACUCAAGAACAUUCAACACAUUAUUCUCUCCUUUUGUCAUUAAGUUAGAGGCUCUUAAGAUCAACUAUUUGAAUU
rnacentral:lncRNA from 1 species